AUCUCUUCAUUGCCCCUUAUUUCUCUACUAACUCCUAUUUUCUUUUUAAUUUAGUUAAUUAAAUAAUUUCUACAUAAAGCCACUAAUUUCUAUUUUAUUUCUAAUAUUAAUUUAAAAUAUUAAUUAUUCUAAUUUCUAGUUAUUGUUAAUUAUUCUACUAAGUACCCAAAUUCUCCCCACACCCCUACCAAUACCAUUACACUACAUCAACACAUAUGAUCA
rnacentral:lncRNA from 1 species